rnacentral:tRNA from 1 species
ACUUUCUUAAUAUAUAAAGUAUAUUUGACUUCCAAUCAAAAAGUCUGAACACUCAGAGAAAGUA